rnacentral:rRNA from 1 species
AGUGAACGCUGGCGGUAGGCCUAACACAUGCAAGUCGAACGGCAGCACAGUAAGAGCUUGCUCUUACGGUUGGCGAGUGGCGGACGGGUGAGGAAUACAUCAGAAUCUACUUUUUCGUGGGUGAUAACGUAGGGAAACUUACGCUAAUACCGCAUACGACCUACGGGUGAAAGCAGGGGAUCUUCGGACCUUUCGCGAUUGAAUGAGCCGAUGUCGGAUUAGCUAGUUGGCGGGGUAAAGGCCCACCAAGGCGACGAUCCGUAGCUGGUCUGAGAGGAUGAUCAGCCACACUGGAACUGAGACACGGUCCAGACUCCUACGGGAGGCAGCAGUGGGGAAUAUUGGACAAUGGGCGCAAGCCUGAUCCAGCCAUACCGCGUGGGUGAAGAAGGCCUUCGGGUUGUAAAGCCCUUUUGUUGGGAAAGAAAAGCAGCAGGUUAAUACCCCGCUGUUCUGACGGUACCCAAAGAAUAAGCACCGGCUAACUUCGUG